AUAGCUACAAACCAUCGAUCAAGCCUAAAAGGGCAUUUAUAAACCACCUACAUCUACAUUUUUUUCUUACUGUGGAUGUAUUUAAAAAGCCGUUUCAAGAUGAAAUCUUACGAGUCUUUUUCAUGUCUUUUGAGGGCUGAGAUACAACUUUGCAGUAGAGCCCAAACAUGAAGAUCAUGAAGAUGGCUUCUUCUCCAAAUGAUGUUAUCUGAGAGCGAGCCAAGGGAACUUGAAUCAGACAAACCUGGUUCAGUGAUUAUUCAACAAAUGUAAGCUGUUAUCAUCUUGUCCUCCAUCAUUCAAAUAUGUCCUAUAUAGAUCUUCCAUUAAUUUCAAAUAUCUAAUGAUCUACACCAUCAAAUAAUAUGAAGGUGAUGUUUAGCAGGUCAUUGGCUAAGACAGGCUCUACCUCAGUCUCUAAUAGAGAAGGAAAGACAAUUCAUACCAUGGGGAGGAUCAUUAUAGUUGACCAGUUAAAUACGUGAAUUGAAGGUAAUAUCACAGA
rnacentral:lncRNA from 1 species